AAUAGUCAAGAUGAGCUAACGUGUAGCCAUCCCAAACGCUUCUUCUUCUUCCCAACCAUCACAUGGUGGGGGAGCCAAGGGAAUCAGAUUCUGUCCAUAAAGUUGGGGUGAUGUGGGUAGUUUAGGGGCUGUGAGUAAGCAUUCUAAAUCAGGAGAGGUAAUGAUAGGCUUAGAGGGAGUAUUUCUAACUCUCACUGAAGAAUUAAAGGAGAGUGUGAGGUUUUGGAAAGCGAAAAGUAGGAAAUCGGAAGAGGGAAGCUGAGAGGGUGUUGGUGUGUUCUUCAAUUUGUACAAAAGGCCUGGGAGUGACUCCGGACACUUCGGAGGCUUAGAGAGGUACCAGUAUGAAGGAACAAGAUGAUGACCUGUCUCUAUAUGAAUAAACAUAUCCUAUGUGUGUGUUGGUUUCCUAGUUGUACUUUAAAUAAAGUGUUCUAGUUUUUCAAGUGUGUUUGUAAGAGUUGAACUCUUUAAACUCAUGAUGUAUUAAAUAAACAGGUCUAAGUGAACUUUUAGUUGGCUCUGGUUCCAUCAUACUCUCGUUGUAAUAUUUUAAUUUAUUUUCAAGUCUAUUCACACCCUA